UUGGCUUCCGGUUCACGUCGCUCGCCCGAGCAGACGACCCGGCGGCA
rfam:Dermacoccus sp. PE3 Contig1, whole genome shotgun sequence.